UAAAAAAAAAAAAAAAAAGCAUUUGGUAAUGCUGUCUGCAUUUAUAGCCAAAAAGCAUGCUUCCCGAGUCAGAGGAUGACACAUGAGCAGGAAUUCUGCCUUUUCAUGUCCUCUGUGCUUUUGUCUGCGGUAAAACAAACAGGAAAAUCAAUGGAAAGUUGAAUUGGAUACAGUUAUAGAAAUGCUAUUUUGAAAAAUGAUGCAUGAAUAAAGCUAUCUACAGUUCAUAAUUUUAUAUGGCUCGACUUAUUUCCUUUUCUCCUGACUUUGAAGCCAAAAAGCUGCUAGAUAAUUUGAACAGUAACCCAUAGCAAACUAAUGAAGAGUUGAGGACUUGAAGUAGUUAGCUUUAGUUUAAAAAAUGAUUUGACUGUGCUCUGACCUUAUUAAAGUUUUAAGUAAAAUGUAAGCGUCACUUGUAUUCGUCACAAAGUUAUUCAAGGUUUUAAAACUGCUAUGUACUGCUCUAUGCAUCCCAAGAAAAACUUAACAAAAUCCACAAAUUAUAAAACAUCAAGACAUAAGGGAAGUGAAAUUGAACAAACCCAUCUUCUUCUUAGCUGCAGGAG
rnacentral:misc_RNA from 1 species